CAGCAGCCGCGGUAAUACGUAGGUGGCAAGCGUUGUCCGGAAUUAUUGAGCGUAAAGGGCUCGCAGGCGGUUUCUUAAGUCUGAUGUGAGAGCCCCCGGCUCAACCGGGGAGGGUCAUUGGAAACUGGGAAACUUGAGUGCAGAGGAGGAGAGUGGAAUUCCACGUGUAGCGGUGAAAUGCGUAGAGAUGUGGAGGAACACCAGUGGCGAAGGCGACUCUCUGGUCUGUAACUGACGCUGAGGAGCGAAAGCGUGGGGAGCGAACAGGAUUAGAUACCCCCGUAGUCCCUGUCUCUUAUAC
rnacentral:rRNA from 1 species